rnacentral:rRNA from 1 species
GAUGAACGCUGGCGGCGUGCCUAAUACAUGCAAGCCGAGCGAAUGGAUUAAGAGCUUGCUCUUAUGAAGUUAGCGGCGGACGGGUGAGUAACACGUGGGUAACCUGCCCAUAAGACUGGGAUAACUCCGGGAAACCGGGGCUAAUACCGGAUAACAUUUUGAACCGCAUGGUUCGAAAUUGAAAGGCGGCUUCGGCUGUCACUUAUGGAUGGACCCGCGUCGCAUUAGCUAGUUGGUGAGGUAACGGCUCACCAAGGCAACGAUGCGUAGCCGACCUGAGAGGGUGAUCGGCCACACUGGGACUGAGACACGGCCCAGACUCCUACGGGAGGCAGCAGUAGGGAAUCUUCCGCAAUGGACGAAAGUCUGACGGAGCAACGCCGCGUGAGUGAUGAAGGCUUUCGGGUCGUAAAACUCUGUUGUUAGGGAAGAACAAGUGCUAGUUGAAUAAGCUGGCACCUUGACGGUACCUAUCCAGAAAGCCACGGUUAACUACGUGCCAGCAGCCGCCGCAG